rnacentral:lncRNA from 1 species
CUGCAGAACAGCAUCAUAUUCAAGAAUGAGGACAUGAUGAGCAGGGGUUUUCACGACAGGAUGCUUCCCGAGCAAGAUAAAAGGGUCCAGGAGACACGGGGCCAUUCAUCUACACAUUCUGGAGGCGGAAGUUUUGAAGAGCGUGAAGCUCAGACUGCAGAAGACUCCAGGCCCAGACUGGAGGUGAUUUGAAGCAUUAAGGAUCCAUUUGAAGCAUCCUGAUUUGGUGUUUAGAGAGCAACCCGUUCUGAAAUGCUGGAGUCCCGGGCACUAUGGGUCCACCUCGGUUUUACUCAGCUCCUUAGCUGAGUGGUUUUCUUUUGAAUCAAGUCAUGACUUGAAGAUACAAUGGCACACGGCAAGUUCGAGAACCUCCCUCCCUUUGGCUUCUACACAGCUGCCCCUCCAGGCUGAAACACAGUCGCCAGUUUGUCUUCCUUGCUGGCUACCAUGAAGGUAAAACAUUAACAGGUGUGCGUUAAACUGUUACUUGCUUACUUGUUCUUUUAAUGUAAGUCAAAAGUUAAUAAAAACAUAGCCUGUUUUCUCACC